rnacentral:RNase_P_RNA from 1 species
CAUCGACAGGGGACGGCCGCUCUUCGGCCUCAAAGCCGAAGGGAGGAAAGUCCGGACUCCGCAGGGCAGGAAGUCCUAUUGAAAAGUAGGAUACCGCGGACGAUAUGCCGCGGGAAGGAAAGUGCCGCAGAAAAGAUACCGCCUUCCUUCGUGGCUUCAGGGGCUCGCCCUUCGAAGCCUUGGCGAAGAAGGGUAAGGGUGAAAUGGUGGAGUAAGAGCCCACCGCUCAACGAGAGAUCCGCGAGGCAAGGCAAACCCCUUCCGGAGCAAGACCAAAUAGGAAGCAAAGAUGCGGCCCGCAUCGCUCCCGCACCCACUCGGGGCCAGCACGACGACGAUGUCAUGUGAUGGGUCCGGCUGGGUGCGGGGAAAGUUUCGGGUUCCGGUCGCUUAGAUGAAUGGUCGUCGCCCGGCGCCUACUUUGCGGUUCCAGCGCUCGCUGACGCGUGCGGACUCCGCACCGGCAACCGCGAGACGGUGAGAUCGCAAUGUAGGCGUUGGGAACAGAAUCCGGCUUAUACCUGCCGGUGGCUU